GGUAGCGUGGCCGAGCGGUCUAAGGCGCUGGUUUUAGGCACCAUCAUUUCGAUGGCGUGGGUUCGAAUCCCACCGCUGCCA
rnacentral:tRNA from 1 species